GACGUAGGGCGCGAGCGUUGUCCGGAUUUAUUGGGCGUAAAGAGCUCGUAGGCGGUUUGUCGCGUCUGCUGUGAAAACUCGAGGCUCAACCUCGGGCUUGCAGUGGGUACGGGCAGACUAGAGUGCGGUAGGGGAGACUGGAAUUCCUGGUGUAGCGGUGGAAUGCGCAGAUAUCAGGAGGAACACCGAUGGCGAAGGCAGGUCUCUGGGCCGCAACUGACGCUGAGGAGCGAAAGCAUGGGGAGCGAACAGG
rnacentral:rRNA from 1 species